UUAAGAUAGCUGUGGUUUUGAAUUAGCAAAAUAUGUUUAGAAAAAACUAUGGAUCAACGAGUGAAUAAAAAAGGCGGCGCCAACCACUAGCAGGAAUGUAAAUCAGAGCGAUGUCGCUUUUAUAGGAUUCGGACAGACUGCACAACAAGAAGAUCUGUGGAGCAUCACAAUCUACAGGAGAAUGGAGCAUUUGGACAAGUGUAAAAUGCCAAACAAAGAGGAUGAGAGUAAAUCUAAUGAACCAAGAGAGGAACAGACCCCAAAACGAGUCAGAAGGAACAGCAUUAAUAGUGGAACACCAAACUUUUUUCACGCUGCAGACAGACCUGCAGAGAUUCAUUCUGAUCCUCAAGUCAAGUCAAGUCAAGUCAAGACAUCUUUAUCGCUAUAGUGCUUUAUACAAGUUUGUUUCAAAAUGGCUUCAUGAGGAUAAAUAAGAAAAUAAUGAUUCAACAAUGCAAAUUCUACUGUAAAUCAGCUCAAAAAGAAAAAAAAAAUGUCAUUGUUCAGAUGAGGUUCAGUUUGGUUAAAAAUCAAAUAUGUAGUUCAGUCCAAUACAGCUGUAAAGCAGCUCUGUAGAAAACAGUGAUGUCAUUGUCAGCUCAGAUCAGACUGAUUUUCACUGUUAUCUGCACUAUAUAGUGAAUCUGCACUAUAAUAACAUUGACAAAGACAAUUCAAGUAAAACAAAAUACAAGAGUUAAUGUUUAUGUUCAUGUUCAUAAUUAUUGUUAAAAUGAUUUAAUUUUGUAAAACAAACAAACAAACAAAAAAAAGAUGAGAAACAAUGCAAAUCUUUAAACCAGAGCUUUAUCUAAAACACCACGCCAUUUGUAUUGUAUUACAUGAUUUGUGUAAGUCUUUGCAUUUCCUAUGGAAAGUUGCUGAGAUUAUCCUUCUUCAUUGUCACUGCUGAUAUGAGGUAGCUUAGUGGUUUUAAAACUUCUGUGCAGCUUAUCUGAAGAUGUGAGCUUCAUUUGAUGAAAACAACAUCAUGCAACACUGAUGGCAACAAAAGAUCAAGGUCAAAAUCAGACAAAAAAAAAAAUCAUGCGCUGCAU